rnacentral:lncRNA from 1 species
AUCAGAAGUGUCUGAAGUAGAGUCUAAUUAUGGUGCCACUGAAGAGGAUUUAAUAACAUCUGCAUCAAAAACAGAAGAGACCUUGUCAAAAAAGAGAGAGUACCAGUCUUCCUCCUGUGUCUCCUCCACAUCCUCUUCCUAUUCUUCCUCUUCUGAAUCCAGAUUUUCUGAAUCUAUUGGUGAGCCGAAGAACUAUAAUAAUGAGUUUUUUCCAUUUGAAUUCAGACUCCUCUUUAAGACAUCUUAGUCUUAACAGGAGCUCUCCUAGUAUAUCUCCUUUCCAAUUUUCUGGUCUUAAUUACUUUGUUUUUGCUUCUUAAUUUCCCCUGUACUUCUUCUUCACUUCGGGUAAGUGUGGCUGUGGCCCUCUUUGCUCGUUGUAAAAAGUGGUUUCUUACUGAUGCACCCUUUCCCUCCUUGCUUCCUGUUACCUCUUUCCACCCCACCUUUCCACCCACACCAUAGGAUUUACCAGCUCUUACCCAACUUUUACAAAUCUAGACGUGCUUUUCUGAAGCAUUCCUCCCUGCAGGUCGUUUGGACUGGGAGACUCUUGUGCACGAAAAUCUGCCCGGGCUAAUGGAAAUGGAUCAGGAUGACCGUGUUUGGCCCAGAGACUCACUCUUCCGAUAUUUUGAGUUGCUAGAAAAGCUUCAGUAUAACCUAGAGGAACGUAAGAAGUUACAAGAGUUUGCAGGAAAAAAAAAGGCCGGGCACGGUGGCUCACACCUGUAAUCCCAGCACUUUGGGAGGCCGAGGCGGGCAGAUCACAAGGUCAGGAGAUUAGGAUCAUCCUGGCCAACAUGUGCAGGCACUGAUGAACUUGGAAGACAAGUAAAGCAAUGGAUGGCUUCAAUAUCCUUGGGCCCAGC